rnacentral:rRNA from 1 species
UGGCGACCGGCGCACGGGUGAGUAACGCGUAUCCAACCUGCCUUACACUCUUGGACAGCCUUCCGAAAGGGAGAUUAAUACAAGAUGUUAUCAUGAGUAAGCAUUUUCACAUGAUUAAAGGUUUACCGGUGUAAGAUGGGGAUGCGUUCCAUUAGAUAGUAGGCGGGGUAACGGCCCACCUAGUCUUCGAUGGAUAGGGGUUCUGAGAGGAAGGUCCCCCACAUUGGAACUGAGACACGGUCCAA